GGUUGAUGCUAUCAUUGUCCCUUAUCCAGAACCAAUAGAUCAUCUGCGUAAUCCUACAAUUGGAGUGGAUCAGUGUGACCUUAUGGGAACUACUUUGAUCAAUCAAACUCUCAAAUUAUAGAGAUGGAUAUUUUACCUUGUGGAUCCAGUGUUUUGGCGAAAUCGGCAGGAAUAUGCAGAGGAAUCAGGGGACAAGUUUCGCAGCACUUUUAAUCGAGAGGGGGAAGAACUUUUGGUUUUUUCAUGUUGUCGAAGAGUUGAACAAUGAAAAUCGAUGGCGAGUGUCUAAAGGGACUAUAGGGGAUGGAUAUGCAGUUUCGUAAUGAUAAUUAACGCUGUUAAAACAUGCAUGUAUCAGAGGUGUAUAGGGACAUCAGUGGAGUUUGGAGAGGGACUCGCUUUAUUGAGCGGUGGCUUGGAGUAUAGGACAUCCAUGGAGAGAUGAUGAUAACUUGGGGAUGUCUGCUAUAUGCACAUAAUUAUAUGGAUACAGUUGCAACUUGCAAUUAGGUUGUAGACUGUUGAUGUUGGAAAUAAUCUAGUGUAGGUGAGUAGUGGUGACUUAAGUUUCAGAUAGGUUAGAAUUAGAUUAAUUGAGAAUCAUAUAAGUGUAAAAGACCUAUAUACGAAGUGUCGGUUUACUUAUUGUGUUUUAUCGCUUGCCCAUUGAUAAAAAUAUCCUUCCCAAAGAGUUUUGGGCUCCCCCAAAGAAACAGGGAAAAGAAAAAAGAGUAGAUAGUAAAAUCUAUAUUAGAAGUUUAUAAAAAAAAAAAAAACUAUAUUAGAAAAUAAAGGAAAGGAA